rnacentral:rRNA from 1 species
GACGAAGGAUGCAAGCGUUAUCCGGAUUCAUUGGGUUUAAAGGGCGCGUAGGUGGCCCUAUAAGUCAGUGGUGAAAUCUCUGGGCUUAACCCAGAAAUUGCCAUUGAUACUGUAGGGCUUGAGUAUAGUUGCCGUUGGCGGAAUAUGACAUGUAGUGGUGAAAUACAUAGAGAUGUCAUAGAACACCGAUUGCGAAGGCAGCUGACGAAACUAUAACUGACACUGAGGCUCGAAAGUGCGGGGAUCAAACAGG